CCAUUCGAUUUCAUUCGUUGAUGAUUCCAUUCGAGUCCAUUCCAUGAUUCCAUUCAAGUCCAUUUGAUGAUUUCUUUGAAUUCAAUUCGAUGAUGAUUCCAUUCGAGUCCAUUCGAUGAUUCCAUUCAGUUCCAUUCGAUGAUGAUUCCAUUCGUGUCCAUAUGAUGAUUCCAUUUGAUUUCAUUCGAUGAUGAUUCCAUUCGAUUCCAUUCGAUGAUUCCAUUCUAUUCCAUUUGAUGAUGAUUGCAUUCGAGUCCAUUCGAAGAUUCCAUUCGAGUCCAUUUAAUGAUUCCAUUGGGUUCAAUUCAAUGAUGAUUACAUUGGAUUCCGUUCUAUGAUUCCAUUCCAUUCCGUUCAUUGACAAUUUGAUUCCAUUCGAUGAUGAUUCCAUUUGAGUUCAUUCGAUGAUUCUAUUCGAUUCUCUUCGAUGGUGAUUCCAUUCUAUUACAUUGGAUGAUUCCAUUCGAUUCCAUUUGAUGUUGAUUCAAUUCGAUUCUAUUCGAUGAUGAUUCCAUUGGAUUUCAUUUGAUGAUUCUAUUCGAUUCCAUUCAAUGAUGAUUCACUUCUCGUCCAUUGGAUGAUUCCAUUUCAUUCCAUUCGAUGAUGAUUCCAUUCGAUUCCAUUCGAUGAUUCCAUUUGAUUCCAUUCGACGGUGAGCAAUUCGAUUCAAUUCCAUGAUGAUUCUAUUUGAUUCAAUUAGAUGAUGUUUCCAUUCGAAUCCAUUCCAUGAUUAUUCCAUUGGAAUCCAUUCGGCGAUGAUUCCAUAUGAGUCAAUUCAAUGAUGAUUCCAUAUGGCUCCGUUCGAUGAUAAUUCCAUUUGAUUUCAUUCGAUGCUUCUAUUCUAUUCCAGUCGAUGAUGAUUCCGUUGGAGUCCAUACGAUGAUUCCAUUUGAUUUCAUUUGAUGAUGAUUCCAUUCGAUUCCAGACUCCAUUCUAUUCCAUUCGAUGAUGAUUCCAUUCGAGUCCAUUCGAUGAUUCUAUUCGAGUCCAUUUAAUGAUUCCAUUGGGUUCAAUUCGAUGAUGGUUACAUUGGAUUCCAUUCUAUGAUUCCAUUCAAUUCCAUUCGUUGAUGAUUCGAUUCCAUUCAAUGAUGAUUCCAUUUGAGUUCAUUCGAUGAUUCUAUUCGAUUCCGUUCGAUGGUGAUUCAAUUCUAUUAUAUUGGAUGAUUCCAUUCGAUUCCAUUUGAUGAUGAUUCCAUUCGAUUCCAUUCGAUGAUGAUUCCAUUUGAUUCCAUUUGAUGUUGAUUCCAUUGGAUUCUAUUCAAUGAUGAUUCCAUUCGAUUUCAUUUGAUGAUUCUAGUAGAUUCCUUUCGAUGAUUCUAUUCGAUUCCAUUCGAUGAUGAUUCAAUUCUCUUCCAUUGGAUGAUUCCAUUUCAUUCCAUUCGACGAUGACUCCAUUUGAUUCCAUUCAAUGAUGAUUCCAUUCGAUUCCAUUCGGUGAUUCCAUUUGAUUCCAUUCGACGGUGAGCAAUUCGAUUCAAUUCCAUGAUGAUUCUAUUGGAUUCAGUUAGAUGAUGUUUCCAUUCAAAUCCAUUCGAUGAUGAUUCCAUUGGAAUCCAUUCGACGAUGAUUCCAUAUGAGUCAAUUCGAUGAUGAUUCCAUACGAGUCCAUUGGAUGAUAAUUCCAUUUGAUUUCAUUCAAUGCUUCUAUUCGAUUCCAUUUGAUGAUGAUUCCAUCUGAAUCCAUUCUCUGAUUCCAUUCUAUUUCAUUCGAUGCUUCUAUUUGAUUUCAUUGGAAGAUGAUUCCUUUCAAUUCCAUUCAUUAAUUGCAUUUGAUUCCAUUCGAUGAUGAUUCCAUCCAAUUCCAUUGGAUGAUGAUUCCAUUCGAGUCCAUUCGAUGAUUCCGUUCUAUUCCAUUCUAUGAUUCCAUUCGAGUCCAUUCGAUGAUUCCAUUCGAUUCCAUUCAGUGAUGAUUCCAUUUGAUUCCAUCUGAUGAUGAUUUCAUUUGACUCCAUUCGAUGAUGAUUCCAUUGGAGUCCAUUGAAUGAUUCAAUUCAAUUCCAUUCUAUGUGGAUUCCAUUCGAAUUCAUUCGAUUAUUCCAUUCAAAUCCCUUCGUUGAUUCCAUCUGAUUCCACUUGACGAUGAUUCCAUUCAAGUCCAAUCGAUGAUUCCAUUCGGUUCCAUUCAAUGAUUCCAUUCGAGUCCAUUUUUGUAUUCUAUUCAUGUCCACUUGAUGAUUCCAUUCAAUUCCAUUUAAUGAUGAUUCCAUUUGAUGCCAUUUGAUGAUUCAGUUCGAUUCCUUGCAAUGAUUCCCUACGAUUCCUUUCUAUGGUGAUUCCAUUCGAUUCCAUUCAUUGAUGAUUCCAUUCGACUCCAUUCGAUGAUGAUUCCUUUCGAUUCCAUUUGAGGAUGUUUCCAUUAGAGUCCAUUCGACGAUGAUUCUAUUCAAUUCUGUUCUAUUAUGAUUCCAUUCGAUUUCAUUCAUUGAUGAUUCCAUUCGACUCCAUUCGACGAUGAUUCCUUUCCAUUCCAUUUGACGAUGUUUCCAUUCGAGUCCAUUCGAUGAUGAUUCUAUUCAAUUCUGUUCUAUUAUGAUUCCAUUCGAUUUCAUUCAAUGCUUCUAUUUGAUUCCAUUCGAUGAUGAUUCCAUCUCUUUCCCUUCGAUGAUUCCAUUUAAUUCCAUUCAGUGAUGAUUCCAUUUGAUUCCAUCUGAUGAUGAUUUCACUUGAUUCCUUUCAAUGAGGAUUCCAUCCAAGUCCAUUCGAUGAUUCCAAUGGAGUCCAAACGAUCAUUCCAUUCGAUUCCAUUCAAUUCCAUUCGAAGAUGAUUCCAUUCAAUUCCAUUCGAUGAUGCUUCCGUAUGAAUCCAUUCACUGAUUAUUCCAUUUUAUUCCAUUCAUUGACGAUUCCAUUCGAUUCCAUUCAAUGAUGAUUCUCUUCUAUUCCAUUCGAUGAUUCCGGUCGAUUCCAUUCAAUGAUGAUUCCAUUAGAUUCCAUUCGAUUGUUGCAUUCGAUUCCCUUCGAUGAUGAUUCGUUUGAAUUCCAUUCGAUUAUGAUUCCGUAUGAAUCCAUUUGAUGAUUAUUCCGUUGUAUUCCUUUCGAUGAUGAUUCCAUUCGAUUCCAUUUGAUGAUGUUUCUCUUGUAUUCCAUUGGAUAAUUCCUUUCAAUUCCCUUCGAUGAUGAUUCUUUCGAGUCAAUUCGAUGAUUCUAUUCCAUUCCCUUCGAUGAUGAUUCCAUUUCACUCCAUUCGAUGAUUCCAUUCGACUCAAUUUGGUGAUGAUUCAAUUCGAUGUCAUUCGAUGACUCCAUUCAAUUUCAUUUGAUGAUGAUUACAUUCGAGUCCAUUUGAUGAUUGUAUUCCUUUCCUUUUGAUGAUUAUUCCAUUCGUGUCUAUUCAAAGAUUCCAUUCUAUUCCAUUCAAUGAUGAUUCCAUUUGAUUCUAUUCAAUGAUUAUGGCUAUCGAUUCCACUCGUUGAUUCCAUUUGAUUCCAUUCGAUGAUUAUUCCGUUAGAUUCCAUUAGAAGAUUCCAUUCGAUUUUAUUCAAUGAUUCCAAUUGAUUCCAUUCAAUGAUGAUUCCAUUCGACUCCAUUCACUGAUUCCAUUUGAGUCCAUUUGAUGAUUCCAUUCGAGUCCAUUUGAUGAUUCCAUUCUUUUCCAUUUGAUGAUGAUUCCAUUAGGGUCCAUUCAAUGAUUCCAUUCGAGUCCAUUCGUUAAUGCCUUUCGAGUCCUUUUGAUCACUACAUUCGAGUCCAUUCAAUGAUUCUAUUCGAUUCCAUUCGAUGAUGAUUCCAUUCGAGUUCAUUCGAUGAUUGCAUUCGAGUCCAUUUGAUGAUUCCAUAUGAUUCCAUUCGACAAUGAUUCCAUUCGUGUCCAUUUGAUGAUUCCAUUCAUUUCCUAUCGAUGAAGAUUCCAUUCGAGUGUAUUCGAUGAUUCCAUUCAAAUGCAUUCGAUGAUGAUUCCAUUCCAGUCCAUUCGAUCGUUCCACUUGAUUCCAUUUGAUGACUAUUCCAUUCAAAUCCAUUUGAUGAUUCCAUUCGAUUCCAUUCGAUGUUACCAUUCGAGUAUAUAUGAUGAUUCCACUCGAUUCCAUUUGAUGAUUAUUCCAUUGGAGUCCACUUAGUGAAUCCUUUAGAUUCUACUCGAAGAUGAUUCCAUUCGAGUCCAUUCGAUGAUACCAUUCAAUUCCAUUCGUUGAUGCUUCCAUUCAAGUGCAUUCGAUGAUAUCAUUCGAUUCCAUUUGAUGAUAAUUCCAUUUGAUUCCAUUGGAUGAUUCUAUUCGAUUCCAUUCAAUGAUAAUUCCAUUCAAUUCAGUGAUUCCUCUGGACUCCAUUUGAUGAUGAUUCCAUUCAAUGAUUCCAUUCGAUUCUAUUCGAAAAUGAUUCCAUUUGAAUCCAUUUGAUGAUGAUUCCAUUAGAUUCCAUUUGAUGAUUCCAUUCGAUUCCAUUCAAUGAUAAUUCCAUUCAAUUCAGUGAUUCCUCUGGACUCCAUUUGAUGAUGAUUCCAUUCAAUGAUUCCAUUCGAUUCUAUUCGAAAAUGAUUCCAUUUGAAUCCAUUUGAUGAUGAUUCCAUUGGAUUCCAUUUGAUGAUUCCAUUCGAUUCCAUUCGAUGAUGAUUCCAUUCGAUUCCAUUUGAUGAUUCCAUUCUAUUGUAUUCGAUGAUGAUUCCAUUCGAUUCCAUUCGAUGAUGAUUGGAUUCGAUUCCAUUUGAUGAUUUCAUUUGAUUCCAUUCGAUAAUGAUUUCGAUCAAUUCCAUUCGAUGAUUCCAUUCGAUUCCAUUCGAUAAUGAUUACAUCCGAGUCCAUUCGAUGAUUCCAUUUGAGCCCGUUCGAUAAUUCCAUUUGAGUCCAUUCAAUGAUUCCAUUCAUUUCCAUUCAAUGAUUCCAUUCGAGUCCAUUUGAUCAUUCCGGUAGGGUCCGUUCGAUGUUGAUUCCAUUGGAGUGCAUUCGAUGAUUCCAUUCGAGUCCAUUUUAUGAUUUGAUUCGAGUCCUUUCGAUGAUUCCAUUCGAUUCCACUCGAUGAUUUCAUUCGAGUCCAUUUAAUGAUUGCUUUGUUUUCUAUUCGAAGAUGAUUACAUUGGAUUCCAUUCUAUGAUUCCAUUCGAUUCCAUUCAUUGAUGAUUCCACCCGAUUCCAUUCGAUGAUGAUUCCAUUCGAUUUCAUUGAAUGAUUCUACUCGAUUGCAUUCAAUGUUGAUUCAAUUCUAUUCCGUUCGAUGAUUCCAUUAGAUUCCAUUCUAUGAUGAUUCCAUUCGAGUCCAUUCGAAGAUUCCAUUCGAUUACAUUCCAUGACGAUUCCAUUCGAGUCCAUUCGAUGAUUCCAUUUGAAUCCAUUCGACGAUGAUUCCAUUUGAUGCUAUUCGAUGAUUCCAUUGGAUUCCAUUCGAUGAUGAUUCCAUUCGACUUGAAUCGAUGAUUCUAUUUGAGUCCAUUCGGUUAUUUUAUUAGACUACAUUCGAUGAUGAUUCCAUUCGAUGCCAUUCAAAGAUUCCAUUUGAUUCCACUCAAUGAUGAUUGCAUUCGUGUCCAUUCGAUGAUUCCAUUUGGUUCCAUUUGAUGAUGAUUCCAUUCGAGUCCAUUCGAUGAUACCAUUCAAUUCCAUUCGAUGAUCAUUCCAUUCGAAUCGAUUUGAUGAUUCCACUCAAUUCCAUUUGAUGACUCCUUUCAUUCCCAUUCGAUGAUUCCCUUCAAUUCCAUUCGAUGAUCUUUCCAUUUGAUUCAAUAUGGUGAUUCCAUUCUAUUAUAUUCAAUGAUGAUUCCAUUCGACUCCAUUACAUGAUGACUCCAUUCCAUUCCAUUCGAUUGUGAUUUCAUUCGAUUCCAUUCGAAGAUGAUUCCAUUCGAGUCCAUUUGAUGAUUCCAUUCGAUUCCAUUCAAUGAUGAUUCCACUCAAAUCCAUUGGAUGAUUCCAUUCGUGUCCAUUCGGUGAUUUCAUUAGAUUCCAUUCGAGGAUGAUUCCAUUCCAUUCCAUUCGAUGAUUCCAUUCAAUUCCAUUCGAUGAUGAUUCCAUUCGAGUCCAUUCAAUGAUUCCAUUGGAUUCCGUUUGAUAAUGAUUCCAUUAGAGUUCAUUCGAUGAUUCCCUUCGAGUCCAUUCGAUUAUUCCUUUUGAUUCCAUUUGAUGAUGAUUCCAUUCGAUUCCAUUCAAUGAUUCCAUUCCAUUCCAUUCGAUGAUGAUUCCAUUCGAUAAUGAUUACAUUCGAGCCCAUGUGAUGAUUCCAUUCGAUUCUAUUCAAUGAUGAUUCCAUUCGACCACAUUCGAUGAAGGCAUUCGAGUCCAUUCGACGAUUUCACUCGAUUCCACUUGAUGAUGAUUCCUUUUGAGUCCAUUUGAUGAUUACAUUCGAGUCCAUGAGAUGACUCCAUUCGAUUCCGUUUAAUGAUGAUGCAAUUCGAGGCUAUUCGAUCAUCCCAUUUUAGUGCAUUCGGUGAUUCUCUUUUAUUACAUUCGAUGAGGGCUCCAUUCAAUGAUUCCAUUAGAUUCCAUUCGAUGAUGAUUCCAUUUGAGUCCAUUCAAAGAUUCCUUUCGAGUCCAUUCGAUAAUUCUAUUGGAUUCCACUAGGUGAUGAUUCCUUUUGAGUCAAUUCGAUGAUUCCUUUCAAGGGCCUUCAAUGAUUCCAUUCGAUUCCAUUCGAUGACGAUUCAUUUCCAGUCCAUUCAAUGGUUCCAUUCUGUUGAAUUUGAUGGUUCCAUUUGAUUCCAUUCGAUGAUGAUUCCAUUCGUGUCCAUUGGACGAUUCCAUUCGAUUCCUUUCGAGGAAGAUUCCAUUCGACUCCAUUCGAUGAUUCCGUUCGAUUCCAUUCCAUGAUGAUUCCAUUUGAUUCCAUUCCAUGAUUCCAUUCGAUACCAUUCGAUGAUGAUUCCAUUCGGCUCCAUUUGAUGAAUCCAUUCAAUGCUUCCAUUCGAGUCCAUUCGAGGAUUCCAUUCGUUGCUAUUAGAUGAUGAUUCCAUUCAUGACCAUUUGGUGAUUCCAUUCGAUUUCAUUCGUUGAUGAUUCCAUUCGAGUCCAUUCCAUGAUUCCAUUCGAGUCCAUUCGAUGAUUCCGUUCUAUUCCAUUCUAUGAUUCCAUUCGAGUCCAUUCGAUGAUUCCAUUCGAUUCUAUUCAGUGAUGAUUCCAUUUGAUUCCAUGUGAUGAUGAUUUCAUUUGACUCCAUUCGAUGAUGAUUCCAUUGGAGUCCAUUGAAUGAUUCAAUUCAAUUCCAUUCUAUGUGGAUUCCAUUCGAAUUCAUUCGAUUAUUCCAUUCAAAUCCCUUCGUUGAUUCCAUCUGAUUCCACUUGACGAUGAUUCCAUUCAAGUCCAAUCGAUGAUUCCAUUCGGUUCCAUUCAAUGAUUCCAUUCGAGUCCAUUUUUGUAUUCUAUUCAUGUCCACUUGAUGAUUCCCUUCAAUUCCAUUUAAUGAUGAUUCCAUUUGAUGCCAUUUGAUGAUUCAGUUCGAUUCCUUGCAAUGAUUCCCUAUGAUUCCUUUCUAUGAUGAUUCCAUUCGAUUCCAUUCAUUGAUGAUUCCAUUCGACUCCAUUCGAUGAUGGUUCCUUUCGAUUCCAUUUGACGAUGUUUCCAUUAGAGUCCAUUCGACGAUGAUUGUAUUCAAUUCUGUUCUAUUAUGAUUCCAUUCGAUUUCAUUCAUUGAUGAUUCCAUUCGACUCCAUUCGACGAUGAUUCCUUUCCAUUCCAUUUGACGAUGUUUCCAUUCGAGUCCAUUCGAUGAUGAUUCUAUUCAAUUCUGUUCUAUUAUGAUUCCAUUCGAUUUCAUUCAAUGCUUCUAUUUGAUUCCAUUCGAUGAUGAUUCCAUCUCUUUCCCUUCGAUGAUUCCAUUUCAUUCCAUUCAGUGAUGAUUCCAUUUGAUUCCAUCUGAUGAUGAUUUCACUUGAUUCCUUUCAAUGAUGAUUCCAUUCAAGUCCAUUCGAUGAUUCCAUUGGAGUCCAAACGAUCAUUCCAUUCGAUUCCAUUCAAUUCCAUUCGAAGAUGAUUCCAUUCAAUUCCAUUCGAUGAUGCUUCCGUAUGAAUCCAUUCACUGAUUAUUCCAUUCGAUUCCAUUCAUUGACGAUUCCAUUCGAUUCCAUUCAAUGAUGAUUCUCUUCUAUUCCAUUCGAUGAUUCCGGUCGAUUCCAUUCGAUGAUGAUUCCAUUAGAUUCCAUUCGAUUGUUGCAUUCGAUUCCCUUCGAUGAAGAUUCGUUUGAAUUGCAUUCGAUUAUGAUUCCGUAUGAAUCCAUUUGAUGAUUAUUCCAUUGGAUUCCUUUCGAUGAUGAUUCCAUUCGAUUCCAUUUGAUGAUGUUUCUCUUGUAUUCCAUUUGAUAAUUCCUUUCAAUUCCCUUCGAUGAUGAUUCUUUCGAGUCAAUUCGAUGAUUCUAUUCCAUUCCCUUCGAUGAUGAUUCCAUUUCACUCCAUUCGAUGAUUCCAUUCGACUCAAUUUGGUGAUGAUUCAAUUCGAUGACAUUCGAUGACUCCAUUCAAUUUCAUUUGAUGAUGAUUACAUUCGAGUCCAUUUGAUGAUUGUAUUCCUUUCCUUUUGAUGAUUAUUCCAUUCGUGUCUAUUCAAAGAUUCCAUUCUAUUCCAUUCAACGAUGAUUCCAUUUGAUUCUAUUCAAUGAUUAUGGCUAUCGAUUCCACUCGUUGAUUCCAUUUGAUUCCAUUCGAUGAUUAUUCCGUUAGAUUCCAUUAGAAGAUUCCAUUC
rnacentral:lncRNA from 10 species